CUCUAGUUCAUGAUAAUUUUGUUGGUUACACAAUCCCGAGGUUAGAAAAUAAUGUAGAAGGGGUCGAUGUUUUAUUGAAAUUUGUGUUAUGCAGUCCAAGUAAAAGUUCCAUCUCAACCGUCCUUUAUAUUUCCCCAGACCCUUAGUCAAAUUGUUCAUAGCUCGAUAGAAAUAGUUUUGUAUACCGACACAAUCAAAUCGGACACCACAGACAACAUAUACAGCUCUUGCUACAUCAAGAAAUUUUUCUGCAGUAUAGC